rnacentral:lncRNA from 1 species
GUAGAGUGGCCUUGAAAGAAGCAAGCCUACUCUUCUUCACGUGUAAUGCUUUCUUUACGGAUAUCUUUCUUUUCGUAAACCCCCAAGGGAUUUCAUCAGGGUAAAUUCCAAUCUAACUAUUAAAUAAAUAAUUACGACUAAUCGUAAGAGGAACUAUUCUAUAUGUAAUCUUCAGAAUAGAGCUCUGAUACCACCUAAUUAAAUAAAUAAAUACGGCUAAUCGUAAGAGUAACUAUUCUAUGUGUAAUCUUCAUAAUAGAGCUUUGAUACCACUCUAAUGAAAGCAAAAAUCCCGAGAAAAUGUAUCUAGAAGAGCUUGAG